rnacentral:lncRNA from 1 species
CAUGUGCUUGCUUUCUGCCUCCCCCAUUAUCCAUGGCGGCAUGGCAUCUCUGCUGCUGGCAGCUGCCACGCCGGCGGCAGCGGCUAUGCCUACUCCACGGAAACGAGACGAGGUGCCCGGUGCCCCAAGGGAAGCCCGGACUGCUGCGUCGUCGGCAAGCGCUACCCGCGGUUCAUGUGGCUCACAGCCGGUAUCGGACAUGCGCCGGCGAUCCCGACGCUGCAUAUGUGCUUCCGCCGGAACAUGGAGCUGGUCGUCGAGCUGUACUCCGGGUCUGGGUGGCUAUGCCUCGACGACGGCGGUGGUGGCGCACGCUGCCGCCGCUGCAACGGGAGGAUCCGCGUCGUCGUCACCGCCGCCGCCGUGAAUGGACGGUCUGUCGUUGUCAGGGUGGUGGACGAGUGUGACUACGUGAACGGGUGCUGCAACGAGGACGGCUUCGUGCCCCCGUGCCAGGAGCAGCAUUUCGACCUUAGGUUUGGUUUUGCCGGACUUAACAACCAACGGUUCGACGUCGGAGUCAAUAGACCGCGAACGUCCCCAUGGAAGGGGUAA